rnacentral:rRNA from 1 species
UGGGGAAUUUUGGACAAUGGGCGCAAGCCUGAUCCAGCAAUGCCGCGUGCAGGAUGAAGGCCUUCGGGUUGUAAACUGCUUUUGUACGGAGCGAAAAGGUCUGCCCUAAUACGGUGGGCUCAUGACGGUACCGUAAGAAUAAGCACCGGCUAACUACGUGCCAGCAGCCGCGGUAAUACGUAGGGUGCGAGCGUUAAUCGGAAUUACUGGGCGUAAAGCGUGCGCAGGCGGUUAUAUAAGACAGAGGUGAAAUCCCCGGGCUCAACCUGGGAACUGCCUUUGUGACUGCAUAGCUAGAGUACGGUAGAGGGGGAUGGAAUUCCGCGUGUAGCAGUGAAAUGCGUAGAUAUGCGUAGGAACACCGAUGGCGAGGGCAAUCCCCUGGACCUGUACUGACGCUCAUGCACGAAAGCGUGGGGAGCAAACA